UGAUGAAAGCCAGAAGACCCAGGUUCAAGGACUGCUUCUGACUUCCACUGUUUGACUAUGGUCAGCAUGCUUAACCUCCCAGUCAGGUAACUCCUCAAGGCAUAGUGGCAGAUCCUAAAAUAAGAUUUAAAGGCCAGAAAAGCUGAUUCACAGAGCCUGCAUUGUGAUUUCCAGUAGCACUGCUCAUCAGAGCAUGCAGAAAGAAAAAAAAAACCCCAACCCAACAAUGCUGCUUUUGAUAAUCCCGAGUACGUGCAUAAACCGGAGAUCACACCGGCCAUCAAAACCAAUCAGCCCCGUGUUCUUUCUCAAGGUGUUGAGCAUUCACUAGAGCAGAUGGUCUGACAAGUGAGGAUUCAAUCUGUGCUUGAAGCCCUCCAAGGAGGAAGAACCUACAAUCUCUUGAGCUAGUCCAGGAUAGCCAUACCAGAGCACGGACAUAACCCUUGAUCUCACUGGUUAGGAUCGGUUAAUUUCCUUCAGCACCACGAUGUUUACAGAGAGCUGCCAAGGGAAAUUGAGUAGGACCAGUGUCCUUUGACAGCCAAACUUGGACUCA